rnacentral:rRNA from 1 species
GAUGAACGCUGGCGGCGUGCCUAAUACAUGCAAGUCGAGCGAACGGACGAGGAGCUUGCUUCUCUGAUGUUAGCGGCGGACGGGUGAGUAACACGUGGAUAACCUACCUAUAAGACUGGGAUAACUUCGGGAAACCGGAGCUAAUACCGGAUGAUAUUUUGAACCGCAUGGUUCAAAAGUGAAAGACGGUCUUGCUGUCACUUAUAGAUGGAUCCGCGCUGCAUUAGCUAGUUGGUAAGGUAACGGCUUACCAAGGCAACGAUGCAUAGCCGACCUGAGAGGGUGAUCGGCCACACUGGAACUGAGACACGGUCCAGACUCCUACGGGAGGCAGCAGUAGGGAAUCUUCCGCAAAGGGCGAAAGCCUGACGGAGCAACGCCGCGUGAGUGAUGAAGGUCUUCGGAUCGUAAAACUCUGUUAUUAGGGAAGAACAUAUGUGUAAGUAACUGUGCACAUCUUGACGGUACCUAAUCAGAAAGCCACGGCUAACUACGUG